GAUGAACGCUGGCGGCGUGCCUAAUACAUGCAAGUCGAGCGAACAGACGAGGAGCUUGCUCCUCUGACGUUAGCGGCGGACGGGUGAGUAACACGUGGAUAACCUACCUAUAAGACUGGGAUAACUUCGGGAAACCGGAGCUAAUACCGGAUAAUAUAUUGAACCGCAUGGUUCAAUAGUGAAAGACGGUUUUGCUGUCACUUAUAGAUGGAUCCGCGCCGCAUUAGCUAGUUGGUAAGGUAACGGCUUACCAAGGCGACGAUGCGUAGCCGACCUGAGAGGGUGAUCGGCCACACUGGCACUGAGACACGGUCCAGACUCCUACGGGAGGCAGCAGUAGGGAAUCUUCCGCAAAGGGCGAAAGCCUGACGGAGCAACGCCGCGUGAGUGAUGAAGGUCUUCGGAUCGUAAAACUCUGUUAUUAGGGAAGAACAAAUGUGUAAGUAACUAUGCACGUCUUGACGGUACCUAAUCAGAAAGCCACGGCUAACUACGUG
rnacentral:rRNA from 1 species